AUCAAUUUUACAACAGAGAGGCGUUAUGGAUGAUCAAUUUUAAUAUUUAAGCCAUCUAUGAAUCGAAACAGAGAAUGUAUUUUUCGAUCCGUUUUUGGUUGAUUCAUGUAGAAGGUGCAGAAACUUUGAGUUUGUACCAUAAUGCAAGACCACCUCUACAUAUUACUGUACCUAUUAAGAAAGCCAAAACGCCUAUAUAGAUUUUGGAUACGGAUAAUCUAAAAACUAUCUUCCAACUUCUCUCCACCACAUGGGAUCCAGCAGACUAGGCACAUAAUGUGAUCAUAUAACAUGAAAUUUUUUGGUGACGAUGGUGACCUUUGGUGGGGUAAAUGCGAAACCAAAGUUGAUAUUCCAUCGGGAGAUUCCUGCUCUGCUUUGAAGUCGAAUAGAACCCUGCUCUACUAGCACCAAUUGAAUCCCUGGAUACCGAGGUCCAGAAAUUGGCAUGGCACACCUCAAAUGAGUUCAUAAAAGGAAAGAGGUAAGCUAGGUUUUUGGAUAUUCUUCAGUUAUGCUUGAACAUUAGGUUCC